AGUUUGAUCCUGGCUCAGAUUGAACGCUGGCGGCAUGCCUUACACAUGCAAGUCGAACGGUAACGCGGGGCAACCUGGCGACGAGUGGCGAACGGGUGAGUAAUAUAUCGGAACGUGCCCAGUAGUGGGGGAUAGCCCGGCGAAAGCCGGAUUAAUACCGCAUGAGACCUAAGGGUGAAAGCGGGGGAUCGCAAGACCUCGCGCUAUUGGAGCGGCCGAUAUCAGAUUAGGUAGUUGGUGGGGUAAAAGCCUACCAAGCCGACGAUCUGUAGCUGGUCUGAGAGGACGACCAGCCACACUGGGACUGAGACACGGCCCAGACUCCUACGGGAGGCAGCAGUGGGGAAUUUUGGACAAUGGGCGCAAGCCUGAUCCAGCCAUGCCGCGUGCGGGAAGAAGGCCUUCGGGUUGUAAACCGCUUUUGUCAGGGAAGAAAUCCUCUGGGCUAAUACCUCGGGAGGAUGACGGUACCUGAAGAAUAAGCACCGGCUAACUACGUGCCAGCAGCCGCGGUAAUACGUAGGGCGCGAGCGUUAAUCGGAAUUACUGGGCGUAAAGCGUGCGCAGGCGGUCUUGCAAGACAGGUGUGAAAUCCCCGGGCUUAACCUGGGAACUGCACUUGUGACUGCAAGGCUGGAGUACGGCAGAGGGGGAUGGAAUUCCGCGUGUAGCAGUGAAAUGCGUAG
rnacentral:rRNA from 1 species